UCGUGCUAGUUGGGGAGGUAGCGGUGCCUUGUAACCUACAAUCCGCUAUAGUAGGAAUGAUGUUUGUCUAAGGUUUUUCCUUAUUAAGUCUGCCCAUUAAAAGUGGUGUUGACGGCUUAGUCUUACGCAAUAGAUGCUUGUGAACUGUGUCAGGUCCUGACGGAAGCAGCACUAAGCAAGAUUUUCUGUGUGCCGUAAGGGUGCUGAGCUUGAGCUAACUAUAAUGGUAACGUUGGUAAGGGACUGUCGAAGAUAAAUGCACGA
rnacentral:SRP_RNA from 1 species